UCGUUCGUGUGGCUGCUGCUCGUGCGUCGUUGCUGCUCGUUCGCGUGGUUGCUGCUCAUGCAUCUUCAAUCCACGGUUCACUUAUCUUAAACUAGCUUUUCCCUCUUUAAUUUUCUUUUUUUUUUUACUAAAUUAACUUUACUUCUUUUUAUUAUCAUUCAAAAUCCACUAGAAUUUUUGAGAAUUUUUGGACAAUUAAUUAAUUUUGGAGAAUUUUAGACAAUUAAUUUCACCGAAGAAGUGAGUUUACCAUGGGCAUAAUGCCAGAAAAGCUUGUACUGGUUUAUUGGAGAUUUAUUGUGCUUAAUUUAUCAAUGAAAAGCUUGUACUGGUUUGCAGAUGGUAACAAAUAAUGGCCUGCUUUCAGGCAAUACUACAACGACGUCCCAACAAGCUAUGAGAGGAAGUUCACAAGCUAGGAGCCAAAGUUGUCAUACAAAUUUGUGAAUAAAUUAUGUUUUUUUUUUCAAAAAAAUAUUAUGGUUAUUGUUGUAAUGAUU
rnacentral:lncRNA from 1 species